UAUUUGUUUAAUUAAUCCUAAAAUUGAAGUACAAUUAUGAAAAUGUUAACAAAAGAAUUGCGUUUAGAUUUCAUAAACAUAUCGCAAAGUGACCGAUUUACCCAGCGAUCGUACACAGGUCUCACUUAUAGUCCUGAAGCAGAACCAAUCAGCAAGCAACGCUACCUCACUGUCGUUAUUAUAUUACACUAGCGCAUCGUCAUAGAGUUUAGUACUCUUUAAUCUGUUGAGAUAAAUGUCAUGUUGGUAUGUUGCUACAUCCAGAGUUGGUGCCACUGCUUGCGUUUCUCGUCUGUUACUCCCCGUCCGCCACGUUUUUUUUAUCAGAUUAUCCGAUGUGUUGUAAGUGGCUUUAUAAGGUGGUGAAAUACAGAGCAUACGAAACUAAUCUGUGUGAAUCAAUAAAAUAUCAAACCCCAAAUCUAUGUAAUAACAUAAUCGCCUUUUGUAUUCGAGUCAAGGUAGAGUGUACAUCGUAUAAAAAUUUACUGAACGUUAUAAUUUUUUAAUUUACCAAGCAUUACUUGGUAAUGAGUACUAAGUGAACAAUUAAAUUUGAUUAGAAAUUUGAUCUGCACAGUUUCUGUAAAAAGAGAUUUAGCGAAGGAUGGAUGGGUAGUACAGUAACCGAAAAGGAAAUUAUUCUACAUGCAAAAGAAAUUUCAAGAGUUCUCGUUGCCAGAAAUUUAAGAUGAAUGGUUUUUAUGAUAUUCAGGCAAAGUGACUCCUGAGUAAGAUAAAACUUCAGAAAUUCUUCCCUAUGGUGCUUUGCUGAGACCUUUGGAUUUUAACUCGUAAACAAGUUGGCUUAAUGUGCGAUUUAUAAAUAUUUUCAUAGAACUGUCCGGUCAAUAAGGUUGUUUUCUUCCUGAAAGUACAAAUUGGCACGGUCGAAUUACGACUAAAUUCUUAGAACAUUCGGUGGAAGGACCGUUGGGAUAUCGACGACUCAUUAGGCACUUCGGCGAUAUACAUUGUCGCCAAGGCCGCCACAUCUUUAUCUCCAUCAUCGGUCCAUCGGAUUUGAAGGGUGCCGAUCGUGACAGGAACAUUGAAGCGGACAUCGUGGUGAAGAUGGCUGAGGAUGAUCGGUCGUGGCAGAAGUUCUCAGAGUUCUGUACGCGGGCGAUGGUCUUCAGGCAAAGGAAAGAAAAAGAGGUGGAGACGCGCGAUGGACGCUCCAGAGGAAUAGGAAGAGCAGGAAGAACGGUGUUAAGUACAUGAAGAUUGGUGUAGGGUACGUAGUGUAGAGGCCAACCUGAAGUAUUGUCGAAUGAUCGGGCCGGGUUGGAACCUCGAGUACCUUAGGAGUGAAAGGGGGAGGAGUUUUUAGUUUGUAUAGCAAUGACAUCUGCCGAGUUCCACAUAACCCACAUACAAAAUGGCAUGGGGUAUGCGUAAGUGCAUUUUCCUCUCCUCCGAAAAAAGUCCAAUUCGAGCAUAUUCACGUAGACAUUAUCGUAAUGCAGUAUUCGCAGGGCUAUGCCGGUUGCUUGGUGUCACCCACCUACGCAUGUCUGCCUAUCAUCCCGCGUCUAAUGGAAUAGUAGAUCGCUUACAUAGACAACUUAAAGCGGCGGUCAAGUGCCACGACACGAGCAACUGGAUCGAAAUUCUGCCGAUCGUUCUAUUAGGCAUCCGAACCGCGAUGAAGGAGGAUCUAAAUGUAACGAUAGCUGAAAUGAUCUACAGCACUGGCAUAUGAUUGCCGGUGAAGUUCUUUUUGGCAACUAAUCAGCGGACCAACUCAGAAUUCACGAACCUGCUAAAAGAACGGAUGGAGAAAGUCAGGCCACAGCCUGUGAUACAACAUGGCGAAAAACAAAUAUUCGUUUUUGGAACGCGAAUUGGAAUCCUCGCCGUACGUAUUCUUACGACAUGACGCGAUUAGAGGCCCUCUACAGCCGCUUUACGACUGGCCGUUUAAAGUAACGCGAAGAGGCCAAAGCCAGCCUUUAUAGUAUCAGAGGACCUUGAAGCAAAAACCGCGGAAACCCGUAACGUGCUUAUUCUGGUAGAACAUACGAACGCCCGCAACAAAAGCGGUGCAACUAUACCAAAUCAAAAUAACGGAGAAAACACUAACAAUAGGUACGUUACGGGGUCUGGGCGAAGAGUACGUUUUCCCGAUUGUGUACAGGUAGGUUUCGGUUAAGCAUCGUAAAUUAUCGGACACGGAAUAUACCACGAAAAUUUUAAAAACAGCGACUUUCAAGGUAAACACGUGAUAAGAAUAACACAAUAAAAACGUUGUCACUGGUAGAGGGGUAAUAUAGCGACGCAGGAGUCAAAGGACGACGCAAAUCGAGUCAUUAUCUGCGAGUAUCACGAGUAUCUACCGAGUUAUGCGACGAGCAUUAACGAGUAUUUAUUCGCGAUUUGAUUUUGCGAUUUAUACCUUGUAUAAAUUACAUAUACAUUCGUAUACAUAUAAAUUACAUA
rnacentral:lncRNA from 1 species